UACGUAGGGUGCAAGCGUUAAUCGGAAUUACUGGGCGUAAAGCGUGCGCAGGCGGUUUGGUAAGACAGAUGUGAAAUCCCCGGGCUUAACCUGGGAAUUGCAUUUGUGACUGCCCGGCUAGAGUGUGUCAGAGGGGGGUAGAAUUCCACGUGUAGCAGUGAAAUGCGUAGAUAUGUGGAGGAAUACCGAUGGCGAAGGCAGCCCCCUGGGAUAACACUGACGCUCAUGCACGAAAGCGUGGGGAGCAGACAGG
rnacentral:rRNA from 1 species